CCCACCCCCGCCACCGACGCUCCCUCCCUCUCAUUCUCUCUCUCCACCUCCUCCCGGCGGCUCCACGCCGCGCCGCCCCCUCCUUCCUCCUCCCUCCGCCGCACCCUCUGCUCCUCCUUCCCCGCCGAUUGUGUCAAAUCAUAUAAAGUUGAUUCCAACUUUUUCUCUUUUGUUUGAAGAUGGUCAAAAGGUUCUGAAGCACAACUUUGAUACCAAGAUUACCUCAACGAUUAAUUCCUCCAACUGUAAGGUUCCGGGGGUUGCCAUAUUGGUCUGUUUGCAAUCUCGAUUUGCAAUGUCGAGUGAGUAUCAACCUGGGGGCGUUCAACUGAACAAUUUGAAGAGCAUGCCCGUCAAGUAGAUGUGCUUCCUGGAAGAUGCAAUGACACGGUCUGCAUAGACAUUCCAGUUGCCACUGAACUUGCUGCACCUUUGGCCGAGAAUUGUAUCUGGCGACAGGUGAGAGGAUCUGGUGCUGAGAUUUCAGGUUCUGAUGGACCAGCCACGGCAACGGAAAAGGUUAGUGGAUAUGCCUACAAGUCAACUAGCAUCAAAGAUGGUGUAAAUCAGUUUAAUCUCCAGCAGGAACAUGAUGAAGGAAGCGGUAUAGCUUGUUUUCAGGCAUUGGUUGACUUUCUAUGCUCCCUUAUGAGCAGCAAUGAUGAUGGAACAAUAAUUGGUGCAAAGCAAAAGCUCAGUCGACAACCUGAAGAAUCAUAUCUUAAAUUUGUGAUGCUUUAUGCGAAAAAAUAUUUUCAGAGGUCACUCGGGAUGCUUAUAUUGUUGUCCUGGCUGGUGGAACCCUCCAACCUAUUGAAGAAACUACGCUACGCUUGUGUCCAAGCUUACCACCAGCUGAUAUAAAAUUCUUUACAUGAAACCAUAUUGUUCCUCCUGAGUAUUCUUCCAAUAGCUGUUACACAUGGACCCUCAGUCAUGACAUUUGAUUUCAGCUACAAUUCAAGGAGCUCUCAUUCCAUAGUUUGCACUUUCUAUCUCAUAUAUAACAUCCCCUAGCCCAUUAGCUUUUGCCACUCUAUCAUACAUUGUGAAAUAUGAAUUACAUAAAUUUAUUUUGCAGAGCAUCUUCUUUCCAAUUGCUGCUCUAAAUUAUUUUUUUAUAACUGAAACCUAAUUGUAGGAUAUUUAGGAUAUUAGCUUUGCCUGGUAGAGAAGGAUUUGAUAGGAUGUUUAUUUUUCCUGGUAGGGAAAGAUUGACAUUGUCAUCUUUUUGGGGCCUCUAAUAAUGUAGUUACAACAUGAUAUUUGCUAUUUAAGUUAGAGUACAUAUAUGUGAUGUUAUGCCAAAGUCAAAUGAUGUUGUUAAUCACCAGUGCUUUUACUUCCUGUUGCUGAUGUGUUGUCAGAAUAUAGAGCACUAUGUAAAGCUAUUUUUGUAGAGUUAUUUUCUUUUUGAGACUUAUGUAGAGUGAUGCUUAGGUUCUUGUUUUUUUUUUGUUUGUUUUUCAGGAUGUAUGGGCUCUAGGGAGCUGACAAUUACUCGAGGUGCUACGUUCUUGUGCUUGGAAAUUAAAGUUUCUUCAGAUUGGGCCAAUUGAUUCUGUCAACAUUGAGAUUGAGACUGGCAACUGGAUGAGACCAUCACCAAUGUGUUUGAAGGGUGAAUCACUAUUUUACUUUUUACUUCCUGCAUGUGAAUUAAUCUUAAUGUAUUCUUAUCUCUAGGCUGAGGACACUAGACAGGGCAGAUGCACUUCUGUUUGUUGUUUUAAAGAAGUUCAUGCUUGAAAGUUUGAGAAGGAUGGAAAUUCCAUGGUAAGAUGUUUAUGCUUAUGCCAUUGUCGCAGUGAGAGGCCAUGAAUGCAUUUCUCUGCAGUAGUGGUGUUUCUGAAUGGUUGAGGCUUGAGAGCAAAUGUUGCAUUACAAUAUUGAAGUGUAGGUACUGGAUGAAUAGUUUAUUUUUUUCACUUGUAUAUGGUUUCUAUACCGGUCAAUGAUUUAGAGUUUGAAAUUUGAUAGUGUCAUCACAAGAUUUACUUAGAUUUUUUUGACACUGUUGUGUAGGCAGGCAUGCUGUGUGGGACUCUGCUCAUUUUGCUCACAGUCACUUGGAAGGCUGAAGUGGACUACUCACGACUAAACUGAACUUUAUAGGAAACAUUUGAUCUGAAAGCUUUUAUUUGAAUACUGCAUUCCUUUUUUCCUUCUUAGAACUAAUGGCUGACUAAUGGAUUUUUUUUUGUUUUUGUUGCAUUCAUUCAAAUAACAAUCAUAUUUUCAUAUAGAUCACUUUGCUGUUUAGCCACAGAACAUGUUUAGGUAGCUGCAGCUGGUUCCAGGGCCCAUAGCUGGAGUCGCGACCGUCGUUGAUGCAGCAAGGAUAGGUGCCCUACGCCGGCUGCUGGGCUGCGGCAGCGCGAAAUAGUGGAGUUUAACUUGCUUGAUGAAUUCCGGUAGUAAUGUGUAUCGAUAAAAGUUUGUUGAAUUCAUCUUAGUUUGGUAUACCAGUGAUGAUUUCCCUUUCUUCCCUAUUUUGAAAUAGGUUCGUGAUGUUUAGAUCAUUUUUCUUAUGAUGAUGUUUGGCUUAGGGGUAGCAGAUGGAUGGAGGUAGCAUCGCAGUACAUGUGCGCACUGGGAGGGGCCUACAGUCCACGCCACCUCCGCGGACACAUUAAUUUACCUAUUUUCAUAAUUAUAUACUUUUUUAUAUUUUAGAUAUUGUCUAUUUUUACAACAACCUUAUUGUUUGUUUUCACCAUAUAUAGUUUCUUAAAAAUGCCUGUUGCAACUAAGAUUUAGGGUAAUUAUUUUUUUCGCAAUAUUGUUCUUUAAACACGUGUGUGCCGCACUGUCCUUCUUUAAGGUUUUUCACAACAUUUUUAAACACUGCAUUUUAAGGUAGCCAUGAUUUGGGAAAUGAUAAAUUGAUGUAGAAACAAUAUUGCUGCUUGUCCUCUUUAAGUUUUCACGAUUUUAUCAGAACAAUGUAAUUUGAAAAGAAAAGUUACUUCUACAAAAUGAAUAGUAAGUACUGUCUAACUCUAAUUUGUUGAAGAUGAUAUGGUUCCAUAUAUGUUGGUUCUCUCGUCUGAAACUUAUUUGCACAGCCAUCCAUUGGUCACAAAUGAUUAAGUGUUUUUGCAAUUGACUUUGUGAUUUGUAAGUGUUUCCUUUUUGAGAAAGACAUGUGCUUAAUGGUAAUUUCGACUCAGCUAGAGCUUGAAGAUGGUGUUUUGUGGAAAAUCUGUGCAGGAUUUAGUGGUGGGGUAUAUGGCCGUGCCAAAAUAGAAAUGAAAGGUCCAUCCUAGGAAAGCAAUUUUGCAUUAGCUUUCUGAUUCGUAGACCUCCUUGGUUUUCUUUCAGUUGUAGUGUUGACACGGCAAAUCAACUAAUUGAGCACACUGACCAUGAGGGGCUCACGGCUGAGGUCUUGGGCUGGAGCAGAAAAUAUCGUCUUGGAACAAAUGGCUUGUCUAGCAUUGUACCCAGCACCAAGAGCCUCAACAUGGAGAUUCUGUCCCUCGACCCUCAACAUGCUCUGAUUAUAAGUCUAGAAAAUUUGGAGAUUCUAUUUUGCUUGCAGAUGCAGUGUUUAUAGCA